AAUACAUGCAGUCGAGCGAACAGAUAAGGAGCUUGCUCCUUUGAAGUUAGCGGCGGACGGGUGAGUAACACGUGGGUAACCUACCUAUAAGACUGGGAUAACUUCGGGAAACCGGAGCUAAUACCGGAUAACAUUUAGAACCGCAUGGUUCUAAAGUGAAAGAUGGUUUUGCUAUCACUUAUAGAUGGACCCGCGCCGUAUUAGCUAGUUGGUAAGGUAACGGCUUACCAAGGCGACGAUACGUAGCCGACCUGAGAGGGUGAUCGGCCACACUGGAACUGAGACACGGUCCAGACUCCUACGGGAGGCAGCAGUAGGGAAUCUUCCGCAAUGGGCGAAAGCCUGACGGAGCAACGCCGCGUGAGUGAUGAAGGGUUUCGGCUCGUAAAACUCUGUUAUUAGGGAAGAACAAAUGUGUAAGUAACUGUGCACAUCUUGACGGUACCUAAUCAGAAAGCCACGGC
rnacentral:rRNA from 1 species